CGUUUGGCUGCUGGCUGCUUGAUCCAGCUCUGGCUGCUGCACUGGGAAAGACCAACGAGGAGGUGGAAAAGUCAAAGCCUGAAAAGGCCAGCAGUGAAGUGUGGGCCACCAUUCUGGCUCUGAUCUGGCUUCAUGGUUUCAAGAUGGAUGCAAAGGACGAGUGGGAGCUUCUGGCUAUGAAGGCUGCCUCGUGGCUCCGUGCUCAGAAUGCACCGUGUGUGUCAGAGUGUGUGGAUGCUGGAAAUGUCCUGCUGGGUUGCAGCGUGAAGAAAGAAGCUCUGGGACUCUGAGGGUUUUCUUAAAGUAGCUUCAUCUUCAGAGUGAACAGAAGCAGGUCUACUUACUCCACACUGCCUUUGAUACAGAGCUGUUUUAUAUCAUCAACCCCUUUUACAUGUUUAUUUGUUAUGAAUUAUGUACCUAAUUUUGGUUUUA